rnacentral:rRNA from 1 species
AGUGGCGAACGGGUGAGUAACGCGUUGGUGACCUGCCCCGAAGAGAGGGAUAACAGUUCGAAAGAACUGCUAAUACCUCAUGUGAUCAUAAGGAUUAGAGGCCUUUUGAUUAAAUGGAUUUAUUCGCUUCGGGAGGGGCCUGCGUCCCAUCAGCUAGUUGGUAGGGUAAUGGCCUACCAAGGCGAUGACGGGUAGGGGACCUGAGAGGGUGACCCCCCACACUGACACUGAAACACGGGUCAGACACCUACGGGUGGCAGCAGUAGGGAAUAUUGGUAAUGGGCGAAAGCCUGAACCAGCAACGCCGCGUGCGCGAUGAAGGCCUUCGGGUUGUAAAGCGCUUUUUGAGGGGAUGAGGAAGGACAGUACCCUCAGAAUAAGCCUCGGCUAACUACGUGCCAGCAGCCGCGGUAAAACGUAGGAGGCAAGCGUUAUUCGGAUUUACUGGGCGUAAAGCGCGUGCAGGCGGCUCGAUAAGUUGGAUGUGAAAGCUCCUGGCUCAACUGGGAGAGGUCGUUCAAUACUGUCGGGCUAGAGGAUGAGAGAGGGAGGUGGAAUUCCAGGUGUAGUGGUGGAAUGCGUAGAUAUCUGGAGGAACACCAGUGGCGAAGGCGGCCUCCUGGCUCAUUUCUGACGCUAAGACGCGAAAGCUAGGGUAGCAAACGGGAUUAGAGACCC